AUCGGAUGUGCCCAGAUGGGAUUAGCUAGUAGGUGGGGUAACGGCUCACCUAGGCGACGAUCCCUAGCUGGUCUGAGAGGAUGACCAGCCACACUGGAACUGAGACACGGUCCAGACUCCUACGGGAGGCAGCAGUGGGGAAUAUUGCACAAUGGGCGCAAGCCUGAUGCAGCCAUGCCGCGUGUAUGAAGAAGGCCUUCGGGUUGUAAAGUACUUUCAGCGGGGAGGAAGGCGAUGCGGUUAAUAACCGUGUCG
rnacentral:rRNA from 1 species